CAUUUAUAGGAGAAGAACUGUGAACGAAAUAAUAGAAUAGGAAUAAGAAAGCAAAGUAGAAUAACAAAAUCAAAUUCUCUUCCCCUUUGUUUGGAUCAUCCCAGAGAUCUGUUCUAAGAAAUAAUAGAAAGAAAGAAAUUGUGGUCAGAUCUUUUUUCUGGUUGAUCGAUACAGAAGGGAAAGAUGAAUAUAUUUAGAUUAGCAGGGGACAUGACCCAUUUGGCGAGCGUCCUUGUUUUGCUCCUCAAGAUCCACACCAUCAAAUCAUGUGCUGUGAGAAAAAUGACCAGUUAUUAGGAUGUUGAGCCUGAUGGGAAUCUUUAGGAGAAUGAAAUUGAAGUGCAGUUUUCUAAAGCUAAAAAGUAGCUUCAUCCCGGUUAUUUAGCAGGCACACAAUAAUUUUGUUGGCAGACUUGAUGCAGUGUCGAGAACUCUAAAGUGUUAAGGCACUGGCAAAGGCUUGUUUUUAUAUGUUAGUUUAUUAUGUGAAUUUCAAAUCUCGGUCACAUUUGGCAUGUAAUGAACCAUUUUUAUUUUGUUCCAUUUUCAGUUUUCUCCUCUUUUCUGAAAUGUAGUGUUUCUUUAUCUUAUUAAUUCUGGGUAUUCACUUUACAAUUCAGUGAUAAAUUUACUUUUGAAUCAUUGGAACACUUCUUGAAGUAAUAUAAUUACUGUCCUCUUCGUUAUUUUGAAUCCUAAAUUUGGAAUUGGUAUCAUUUUCUUUGUUGCUUAGCAAUUUGCUGGAGAUUUCUCAAAUUGAUGGAAUUGCUAGAUGGCACUGCUCUGAGAAAUGGUUUGAAAUGCUGACUACAAUGUCCAUUGUGGAAUGAAAAUAUCAUUAGUGUUCUAUGUUAUAUGUUUGGUUCCCAUUUUCAGUGCUUCGAGGGAGACGUGUACAGGAGCAGAUAACAUGAAAAAACUCUAGAGAUUGGUCAAUGCACCUCUGAUACUUGAGAACCUAAGUCCAAUGUCAUGUCCAAACAUGUUUCUUGACUAAACAGAAGAACAUGUAAUUUUAUGCAUGUUCAUGACUUGUCUUCAUUUGUAUGGGAGGUGAACUAGAACACAGGUGCUAAACUCGACAUAAGACCUGCUACAUACUCAGUCUGCUUUGAAUCCCUGAACGUCUUUCAAUCUGAUCGAGUCAGAUUUAGAAAAUCUUCUAAAUAACCUAGAAUAUUUUUCUCUUGAGCACUGAUUUGAGUCAGUCGGGAGUCACUUCAAAAUAAGUGUGUUAAUGGGUCCUGCUUGAUCACAAUGUUUCUGAAAAGUUUUCUGCGCUAAAAGAGUAGGAUUAUCAUGUCUCUGAAUGUGUUUCCUAUUUGACACCUAAGAAAAUAGAAACUUCAAUUCUGGCAACAGUUUUGGGGGCCUUGAGGACAGAAUACAAUAAAAAACAUUGUUUUCCAUUGAUGUCUAUGUAGAAGCAAUGUGAACAGCUGUGUUUUUUAAUCUUUUCUUGAUAAUGAAUUGUUUCUGAUUAUCCUUGAAAGGGUUCUUUAGGCAUCAAUAAAAAAUAUUGGGAAAUCUGCACUUGAAUUAUAGUGGUAUUGUGGUUACAUCUGCUUAGUAUAAAUGCUUUAUAAAAGUUCAUCCUCUUAUUCAUCUUUUUUGGCCGAUUAAAAUAAGUUUUUUCUGUUUUUCUUGCAAUUGAUUUUAUGUUUCUGCUAGUGAAAAUUGAAGAAGCUGUAUGAUGAAAUUAUCUUUAGAUAAAUGAUGGAUCUUUUUACUAACUACAUUUCACUGUAUAAUACUCUAAUGAAAUUAAUUUUCUUGGGAAGCUCUUUCUCAAUCGUCUGGUAUAUAAGGCAUCACAAGAUUGUCCGCAGAUCCUACAACAAAGAUCAGGACACAUUUCGCCACUAUUUCCUCAUGCUGCCAUGUUUACUAUUGGCUCUAGUCAUAAACGAAAAGUUCACUGUCAAAGAGGUUCUCUGGCUUCCCCAUUGGACUAUUAUUUCAUGACUUAGUUUACAUUGUUCAUGGCUAAUUACUCGUGGAAAAAUAACUUAGCUCCUCCGAAUUAUGAAAAUGAAUUAUUACUCUACCUUUCUAACAUUCUUUGCAGAAAACUGCAGUCUAGCCUGUUCUUCUUGUUCUAUUACUUACCUUGUAUUUCUUGUUUAUUUGAGUGAUCGGAUAUUGUGGGCGUUCUCCUUGUACUUGGAAGCUGUAGCUAUCCUUCCUCAGCUGGUUCUGCUGCAGAGGACAAGAAACAUUGAUAACUUGACCGGGCAAUAUGUUUUUUUUUCUGGGCGCAUACCGGUCAUUAUACAUAUUGAACUGGAUUUAUCGCUAAUUCACUGAGCCACACUAUGUUCACUAGAUAAGUAUGUCUCUCUCUCUGGAUACAUCAUGUUUGAUAAAGGUUUUUUGCAGCAGCUUGCAUAGUUUUGUAUAUGUGCAAAAUGAAAAUAUCACCAUCUGUAUCUAAAUUGAUAUCCUACUUAUGUGCUCCUUCUGCAAAUGCAGCUUGGAUUUCUGGACUUGUUUAGACACUGCUUUACGCCGAUUUCUUUUAUUAUUACUUCCAAAGUUAAAAUUUUCAAGCAUUGGGGCAUAUUUAUAUAGGGAAGUGCUACAUGUACAUAAUUGUAUACAUAAUGGUGUCCAUAAUUACACGUGACACUGGAUCCAACUUUUAAUUCAAAUUUUACACUUGCACAUCAAUAAUCGGAUGAUUGCCACAUCACAUUAUGGAUACCAUUAUGUGCAAUAAUUAUGUACAAGUAGAAUUUUCUAUUUAUAUAAGCUUGCCAUUUUGAACUUGUAACUUUACUCAUUUUCAUCACUGUUGCAGCUGGAAGAAUAAUGUGAAGCUUGAGUUGCCCGCUUGAGGUUAUAGGAAGAAUUUUGAUAAAAGCAUACACAAAUAUAUAUAAGGCCCAUCGCAUUUUUAUAGUCUUUGUCUGUGGAUCUGUCUAGAAGAAGCAUUUCGUUUAUUCUUAACCAAUUGGGGUUUACCAAAUCAUGUGUAGCACCAAAAGAACUUGUCUUUUGAUUUAUACUGACUGUAACUUACGUUGACAUUUUUUAUUUUUAAGUCCUUUGAACAUUCCUUCA